ACAUACGACCAUAGGGUGUGGAGAACAGGGCUUCCCGCCCGCUCAGCUUUACUUAAGCCACACACAGGGAGAUGAGUACAUUGGAUAGAUAACUACUAGUGAAUCUCUUCCGUUAUAUAUC
rnacentral:rRNA from 1 species